CCAACACUUUAUGCCGUGUUCAAUCAUCUCCUUUUCCAGGAAACUUGUGUUUCUUAUGCUGGUGGUUUGGGGCUGGAGGAGGGUCCUAGACCUCCCAUGAGAGUAAAGAGUAAAGGGUCCCCCUUAAGAAAGAAAAAAUGCAGAGUUGAAUGAGUAAGACAACAUGGGGAAGGGGAAGACAUCACCCUGCAGUGACAUAUCGCCCUGGGCUCCGUUCAACGCUGCUGCUGGUGUUCUAAAUCUCCAGCUCUCCACAUCCUGACCGGCCUGUCUACUCCACCGAAUAGAAUCAUCACCUGUCAAAAACAACACCAAUUACACACUGAGGAAUAGCACCACCACCACAUUCACCAGCCUGGGUUACAUUACAGCAGCGCUCGGUCAUGUGACAGCUCCUUUAGCCCACUGAGGGAGGCUUAAGGGAAGGGGGGUGGGGGGUGGCUGUAGG